UACGAAGGGGGCUAGCGUUGCUCGGAAUGACUGGGCGUAAAGGGCGCGUAGGCGGAUGGCACAGUAAGAUGUGAAAUUCCCGGGCUUAACCUGGGGGCUGCAUUUGAUACGUGUUGUCUAGAGUGAGGAAGAGGGUUGUGGAAUUCCCAGUGUAGAGGUGAAAUUCGUAGAUAUUGGGAAGAACACCGGUGGCGAAGGCGGCAACCUGGUCCUUGACUGACGCUGAGGCGCGAAAGCGUGGGGAGCAAACAGG
rnacentral:rRNA from 1 species